UUGUCUGCUACAUGCCCCCAUUGCUCACAACCCUAAAUUCCCCUUGUUAAUGCCUAAAAAUUGCAAAUUUGUGUUCCUAUACUUGAGACACUUACAUAGAACCAACUGUCACGCGGGUCCCAACUGUCAUGCGGGUUGGGCCCCUUUGAAGUAAGCGUAGUGGAUCUCUUUGGGCCUGUUAAAGUCUCACUUGGAAUUCGGGGAAAGCAGCCAAUCAAGAUGUUCAUAGCAGUGUUUAUCUGCUUUGCUUUCAAGGCUAUUGCGACUUUGUUCCGACAACGUCACGAAUUUUGUGGGAGCUGGCCUGUUCGAGGCCGCUCAUUAUAGACAGUGGCAGUCCCAAAGAGGGAGAGGUUGUCACGCCAGCUCAUCUGCUAGUAGGCACAACGCUAGCAACGGUGCCGCCCGCAUCCGCGUAGCCAAAUGCAAACGGAAACAAAACGUACAUGCAGAGAUGGCAGCUAGUCUCAGCAAUCAAACAGCGGAUUUGGAGCGACUGGUCGAGGGACUAUCUUCUGGGCCUACAGCAGCGAGGGAAAUGGACCAAAGCCGUGGACAAUCUUCAGAUCGGAACAGUGGUGGCAAUCCACGAAGAUAACGUUUCCAUUAAACGGACUAUUACAAGAAGUUGUUUAAAGUUAAGAAAAUGAUUAAAGAUACUGUUUCGAUUUAUGUUAAUGUUUUCUUUAAAAUAAUAAUUUUAUUCUUAAGGAAAUUGGAAUUGUAUUCUAAAAAUAUCCAAGCUUGAAUAAAAGUUUUUAAUACCACAUA